rnacentral:lncRNA from 1 species
AUACAUGCUGUGGUAGGCUUGCAGUUAACUUCUUCCACCUGGUGGGGGUUUUUUAAGUAUCGGCAAAACAGCUUAAGGACAUGGCACAGGAUAUUCCCUGCAGCUCUUGAAGAGGAACUAAAGAUGCAUCCCUUACCCCCCACACUGACUGGACAUUUUCCACAGAAUGAGGCAGACACUCCUUGUACCCGUGCCGUAAAGGACCUACAAGCCAAGUGUGUGGCUUACUAUGAAAGUAUUAGGAUCAUCAAGGGUGGGGCUUCCAGAAGUGGCAGCUAGCAGCUGUCAACAACUUCCAAAGACACCACAGUGAAUCCCUCAAGAAAAUCACAGGUUUAGAUUGAGACUCCCUCAGAUGUCCCCAAGUCCUGUAGCAAUUGGAAGGAAACCUCUGCUCCAGGAAGAGUCCAGAGAGGCUCCCGGAGAAGCAGAGCAGUGUUGGGACCAGAGGGCCCAGGAGGAGCCCAGGAGAAAGAGCCACGCACAGAACUGGACCUCCAGCUGUUGGCUGAUGCCUUUUCCCCAAGACACAGAAGUUGCCACAUGUUCUAAACUGAGCCCAGAAGUUGUUGUGCAGCCCUUCAGAAGAGCAUGGGUCACAGAGAAGUGGAGCUCCCGUUGUGGCACAGUGGAAAUGAAUCCAACUAGUAUCCAUGAGGAUGAAGGUUUGAUCCCUGGCCCCGCUCAGUGGGUUAAGGAUCCGGCAUUGCAGUGAGCUGUGCUGUAGUUUGCAGACAUGGCUCAGAUCUGGCGUUGUUGUGGCUGUGGUGUAGGCUGGCAGCUGUAGCUCUGAUGCGAUCCCCUAGCCUGGAAACUUCCAUAUGCUGUGGGUGUGGCCCUGAACCNNNNNNNNNNNNNNNNNNNNNNNNNNNNNNNNNNNNNNNAAAAAAAAAAAAAAAGAAAGAAAAGCUCUAGAAAGUAAGAGAAGCACCCAUCUGGUCCUCUGAUUCCCCACCCCUGCUCAGAGAAAACCAGUCCUGCACUUACGCAGACAUGCACAGCUGCUCUUCAAGCCUCCAGAAUAACUUCUCAGAAACAGGCUUGUUUUCUGAAUUUCCCAGUUCCUUCCUGAAGGAAGGUUUCCCCAGCAGUCACUCCUGCAAGUGGCAAGAAACCACAGUUGGGAAUGAGGGGGGAGGCUCUCGCUGCCAGGGGUCCUCCUUACAGUUGGCAGCUGGAAAAUUCCGCUCAAUGGGGGUACAAUGGAGCAGGAACCGGUCCUGUUCAGACCCCCAGCAAGGAUGAGGUGUUUCUUGAGAGUCUGGGAGCUCAGCUGCAACUCAGGCGUCCUUGUGAAGAAAGUAAUGUUUUAAAGGAAACUGGGCAGAGCCCACCUGGCAAUCUUUACUUCUGGACCCCCUUGACAGACAGACAACUCAGAGGAGCAUGGGAAAAGUAAAGGGACACUGAGAAGGGAUGUUCCAGGCAAGACGUAUAGAAGGUUUUCGGGAAUUGCCUUGUCUCUCGCAAGAGACGGUAUGCUGGUUCAAAAACCACAGUGCUCUGUGGUGUUUCCCCCAACCCCCGGGAAGGUGUUUCCCUGUCACCCCUGGAGGCUGACAUCAGAGAGCAGGGGAGCUGUGGGGACCCACCCAAGGGUGUCACAGCAGAAUUCAAAGCUGGCAGCUUCUGAGGGGAAGACCCCCGUCCAGAUACUGCUUGAGAGUCAAAGUAUGCUCUCCUCUGACAGCCCCAGUGAGAGGAGAGUGGAAUCAGACAAUGUGGGGUUCACUCUAGUGUCCCCUCAAACUGAUAUGCAGCAUAAAAAUGAAUGAGAACAUGCCAUCAUGAAAUGCUAUGGAUAGGCUAUAUCACAGGGAGAAUGCCAGAGCCUGGCUCAACAGAAGUGUGGAGAGUUCUCCUAAAAGCAGCCAGUCUCUGAUGACUUAGAAGCCGUUUGACCUGACAUGUCCCCAAAGUUGUGUGGCUCCUCCAUUGAGUGUGUCAGAGGGCCCCUUGGAGAACGCUGUGUUUCACAUACAUUCAGACACCACUGUGUUCCAUGGACCCACUGCAGAGUCCUGUGGUAUGCACUGCAGCUCUUGAUUUAACCAACUGCCACCACCUGGGAUGGACAGAUCGGUACAGACACCCUGAGGGUCCUCGGGCACACAACGCAUGAGUAGAAGGAAAAGAUAACACCUUCAAGUCACCCCAUUUCCAGAGAGAUUUCCAAAACCAGUUUCAGGGAUCCUUCCCAUGCCAGGCUGUUGGUGGCAGCCUCUCCUGGAGUGAUGAGCCACAAUGGUCCAAGUCAGAGUUGGUAAUCACACCUCCAGAAGGGAGAGGCAAGUCUAGAGGUGCCAGCCUGGCCAGGGAGACCGGGAAGUGGAGAGAUGGGCAUGAGAGCCGUGCAGCCGUGGAAAGUGAGGGCAGCACCCAUCCCCAAGGAUGAGGCUACAUGCAAGAGGCAUCUCCGAAAGAGACCAGCUUCUGUACACCUCAAGACAAUUAUGGGAAGUUAUGUUCUGCUACCCCCAAAAUGACAUCUGGAAUGACCAGCUGUGGGGGAUACUGGGAAACGUCUAGUACUGCGUGUUUGGCCGCACCUGAAGCCUAUGGAGGUUCCCAGGCUAGGGGUCAAAUCGGAGCUGUAGCUGCUGGCAAUGCCUGAUCCAAGCCGUGUCUUCGACCUACACCACAGCUCACAGCAACACCAGAUCCUUAACCCACUGAGUGGGGCCAGGGAUCCAACUGGCAUCCUCAUGGAUACUCGUCAGAUUUGUUUCUGCUGAGCCACGACGGGAACUCAUAAUAUUACUCUUAGUGCAUUCUGGCUGAUACUGUUUAGUGAUUACACCCUCCGCCACCUCUUGAACCUUUUCUCUGUCUUUGAAUUAGCUCUAAGUUACGAGGAAGAGUCAUAAGAGAUAAAGUGACAGGUAAUAGGGCCAAUUUGUGAAGGUUUGAUGAUGCCACUGUGAGAACUGUAGCUUUUAAUUCCAAAGGUGAUGAGAAGAUAUUGGAGAUCAUUGGGCAGACUCUUAAAAAACAUAGUCGCAAUGCCAUGAUCAUACCCCACAAAAUCUGUAGUAAGUCACUGAUGUCAUCACACACCCAAGUGGUCAUACAUGCAUACUUUUAAUUAUCCCAUAAAUAUCAUACUUUGGGCUUUUUUUAAUCAGUAUCCAAAUAAAGGAGACACCUUU